CCUACGGGAGGCAGCAGUGGGGAAUAUUGGGCAAUGGGCGCAAGCCUGACCCAGCAACGCCGCGUGAAGGAAGAAGGCUUUCGGGUUGUAAACUUCUUUUCUCAGGGACGAAGCAAGUGACGGUACCUGAGGAAUAAGCCACGGCUAACUACGUGCCAGCAGCCGCGGUAAUACGUAGGGGGCAAGCGUUAUCCGGAUUGACUGGGUGUAAAGGGCGUGUUGGGGGGGACGCAAGUCAGAUGUGAAAACCACGGGGUCAACCUGUGGCCUGCAUUUGAAACUGUGUUUCUUGAGUGCUGGAGAGGCAGACGGAAUGCCUGGUGUAGCGGUGAAAUGCGUAGAUAUUAGGAGGAACACCAGUGGCGAAGGCGGUCUGCUGGACAGCAACUGACGCUGAGGCGCGAAAGCGUGGGGAGCAAACAGGAUUAGAUACCCCAGUAGUC
rnacentral:rRNA from 1 species